GCCAGGCAUGGUGGCACAUACCUUUAGUCCCAGCAACUCAAGAGGAUGAAACGGGAGGAUCUCUUGAGCCCAGGAGCUUUAGGCAGCCUGGGCAAUAGAGUGAGACCUGGUCUCAC
rnacentral:sRNA from 1 species